GCUGAAAUAACCCUCUGCUGACCCGCUCCUAAAUGGUGAUAACGUGAACUGGGGCAUCAAAAGCAGCUACAUCCCUCCUUUGCAUGUCACUGUCUACAGGACUUGGCAUCCCUUCGUUGGGCUCCCUUGGUGAGCUCCUAUGGCUGGAAAGACUUGCGACUGCUCCGGAGUGACACUAUUAUAAAUACUUUACUCUUUGGGAGUAGUUACCCUGAAUUGCAAGGCUCCAGCUGAGAUUACAGCAUGAAAAGCCUGCUCUGCUACCACCCACGGAUUGUGCCAGCACUUCCAUGUACUUAGAUAAAUGAAAAUGUCACUAUCAGUGAAUCCCUCCAAAUUGCAAAUCAACUACACCGCUGAGCUGCCAAACUGGGACAAUCUGAAUGAGAGAUUUAAAAAAUAGAGCGAUUUUUUAAUGCUGCUGAAGCACACUGCAUAAUCCUUCACCAUCACUUUAAAAACUGUCUUAAAAUUAAUCCAAAAUGAAUAUGUCUUGGCAGACAUGAUGAAAUGUUCAGCUGUACAUAGUUUUUGCCAGCUGUCUUGGCAAACUAAAUGGCAGACUUCAGUCUUCCUUGUAUCCAUUCUGUGCUGCUGAAUAUGCUAAAUCUGACGGCGCUGGAGGAAAACCGGAGGUCUACAAGUAUCUGGAGAGCAGCUAGGGUGGGAAAGGAGAUUCCCCAAGUCUGGUUACAAACUUGGGGUGUCCCAGUGCGAUCGGUACCUCCCAACCGGCCCUGGAAAAAUCACCACUAGCUGCAAGUGGCGACGCCGUGUCCAGCGCCGGCUCAGAAACUUCUCAACUUCUGCAGUGCUGCUGCAACGAUGCCUGUGGUGCGGGCUGGUUUGGGGAAGACUCUGGUCCUUUAUGCUACGCCAGCCAUCAGCAGGUAGUGAAAGGGGUUCCCAUGCACUGAUGUUCUUCAACCAGCUCCAAAGCCUUUCAGGAAAAUACACGAAGGUGACAGCAACAGAAAAUACUCUGAAUUGUGAUUUUUUGGAAAAGAACAACUCUUAAGGCCACCUUAAGUCUUGUGAAAACACAGAUGCGCAAGGACGACGGGUGCAGAUUCCUGGUUUUUCUCCUGCUGCCUGCACACGCGUUGGGCGCGUGCAGCUUCCCAACCGCUGCAGCUGACCCCAUCUCAGCACCUCCCUGAAUGGCAUCAGCCCCCAGUGAGCCCCCGGGGCUGGUUUUGCCCCAAACAAAAGAAAAUGCAAUCAAACCCGUUAACAUUGGCCUCAUCCCCUGGUUAAGGCAGGAGCCGGCGCCGUGGGGG
rnacentral:lncRNA from 1 species